GGACGGUGCCAAGCUGAUUCGCGAAUUUUGGCACGACACGUCUUGGCGAUCCGCGCGCGAAGGUUCAAGUGUAACGUGCACAUGGAUACACGGAUGCAUGCACACAAACACACGCGCGCGCGAUGUGCAUCUUUCAGCGAGCGUUGCAUUCGACCGAACGAACGAACGAACGACGCGUCCCUGGUAUUAAUAGUCUAAUUACAUCACGCUUCAACGAAGGUAAAUACGAGCGAAGAGACAGCGACUGUAAAUCGUCUCGGAAAGCGGCAGCAACAUUGUAACGCGUUGCGAAAGAACGGAGUGUUUGCGUCGCAGAGCGCACCGUUGGCGAUCAAUCGGCUUCGCAUCGAGCCUCCGGCGCAUUGUUCAGAGGAAACGUCGAAGGGAGAAAGAGAGAGAGAGAGAGAGAUGUGCUAACGCACAUAUUAUAUGUAUAUCGUACAACUAUAUGAUUAACUAUACCGAAUGCCGAGUUUCCGCGAGUGCGAGCAGUUUUUCGGUCGUCGCGAUCGAAGGCAGAGUGCAUUAAAAUUGCGCAUAGCCGGGCACACGGGCACACUUUGCCCGUCGAUACGUGUCGCUCAAGUUCAAUAUCGCUUCGCGCACAUCGUCCGCGCGGGAUAUUGCGUCACCGUUCGAAGAUAAAUUCUGAAUCACGGCGGAAAAAGGAGGGAAGGGCCGUUUAUGAGAAAUUAGUAAAGCCGGGUACUUUGUUCUCGACGAGAGCAUUGUUUCGGUCGCCGCGCGCACGUGUCGUUUCGUGACCUCUUCUUAAUAUAAACCUCCGAAUCGACCGCGUGUUUCUCCGUUUCCUCGUAUAAUACGAAUCGAGUCACGCAUUUGCGUGUAACGGCAAACGCGAAUCUCACUGUACGACAAAGGGUUUAGAGAGGAGGAGAGAAGGAGAGAGAAAUGCAACGAGAGAGAAACUUCGGAGCAAAGACUUUACGUAAUUUUCAUUGUAGCAAUUUGAACUUCGUAAACAAGAGCUUUCGAGAUAGAUCACUUGUUGAUCACGCCUAUAAACGACAAUCUUCGACUUUGCUCCGUGUUUUCUCACCUCUAUUCAGAAUCACGUGGAUUCAUCGUGAAUUUAUGUGAAUCUAACACGAUCCCGGCCGUUUCAAAUGCGGCACGCGACGAACGCGUGCUGAGUAACGUGAAAAAUGUGCAACACUUUGUUAUGGGAAAGAAGAUUGCUGGUCAUUGGAAAUUAAAGUGAAGAAAUCGUAUCGGAUUGCUAAUUGCCGAUCCAACGAUUGUGACACAAUCGAUAAAUAUAACACGAUGUAAGUGUAAUGAUAUCGCAACGACUGCAACUCGCGGGGGGGGGGGAACUUCUAUCGCAACAAAGAAGAAAAAGAAGAGAGAGAGAGAGAGAGAGAGAGAGAGAGAGAGAGAAAACGCAUCUCUAAUUCUCAUCCCCGUCCUCGAUCGAAGCUUCCGUAUAGUUGGGCUUCCCAACUCCGAGAACGCGCGCCACGUGUUAAAAUGAUCACGUCAGUAUCGAAAUAAACGCCUGCUUCUUUUAGCCACGCGGUCACGCUUCUCUCUCUCUCUCUCUCUCUCUUUUUCUCGCCGCAUUCAGAGGAUCUCGAGCGCGAGGCGAGAGAUGGUGAAAAAGAGGUUCUAAAAGAGACGCGAGGUGCGUUAUACGUCCACUUACUCUGCCAUGGCGCACGUCGUCGUUGGUUGGCCUCUUCCCCGAUGAGGUGUGUACGGUACGCGUAUAAUAUAAAUGUGGUACGGUAUAUAUCACAGUCCGCUGAUCACAGGUGUAUCACCACGUGGUACGUGGCUCAUUGCCCCCCGUUUGGGACUCGCCACCCCGCUCGGGCCGGUGGUCGUCCGCGAACCCCCUUUCGCGGGGCUUUCGGUGUUUUUAUUUUAUUUUAAUUUUUUUUCGAGGAUGUCGAGGAUCCCCGAGAGCUUUACUCUCAGAGACUGGCCAGGAGGCCGAUCGUGCGUCCGAUCACGUAAAAGCCCACGAGGGUCCUCCUCCUCCGCG